rnacentral:misc_RNA from 1 species
CGCGUAGCUAUCGAUGUGCUGUUGUGGAGUGCUUCAGGGGUGUAGCUGUAGAAAGUAACAAAGGUUUUGGUGGAAUUUGCAAGGAUUGAAGACCACCUUCCAACAUCUCUAAGACCUUUGUCAUUGAUGGUCUAUCUGAGGGAUUGGUUUGAAUGCACCAAAAACCCACAAUGUACAUCUUUCUGGUGAUUAUCUCUGCUUCCUCGACUGUUAUAUUCUCAUCAAGAAUAGAAUUCUGCCCCAAUUCAAGAUGCUUAUAAAUCCAAUCCGGAAAAUACAUUUCGCUGCUCUGAGAUGCUCCAACAUCAAUAUUGUUUCUUCCUCCAAACAUUUCAAGAAUCAUCAUUCCAUAACUAUACACAUCAGACUU